rfam:Oryza barthii chromosome 1, whole genome shotgun sequence.
AAUAAGUAUAGUUUUGUACUAUUCAUGUCCAACGUUUGACGUUUCGUCUUAUUUGAAAACUUUUUAUGAUUAAUAUUUUAUUGUUAUUAGAUGAUAAAACAUGAUUAAUAUUUUAUACGUGACUUGUCUUUUUAGUUUUUUUAUAAUUUUUUUAAAUAAGACGGACUGUCAGGUUAGACACGAUAUAUACGGUUGCACUUGUA